AUGCACGCUGGCGGCGUGCCUAAUACAUGCAAGUCGCGCGAACAGACGAGGAGCUUGCUCCUCUGACGUUAGCGGCGGACGGGUGAGUAACACGUGGAUAACCUACCUAUAAGACUGGGAUAACUUCGGGAAACCGGAGCUAAUACCGGAUAAUAUAUUGAACCGCAUGGUUCAAUAGUGAAAGACGGUUUUGCUGUCACUUAUAGAUGGAUCCGCGCCGCAUUAGCUAGUUGGUAAGGUAACAGCUUACCAAGGCAACGAUGCGUAGCCGACCUGAGAGGGUGAUCGGCCACACUGGAACUGAGACACGGUCCAGACUCCUACGGGAGGCAGCAGUAGGGAAUCUUCCGCAAUGGGCGAAAGCCUGACGGAGCAACGCCGCGUGAGUGAUGAAGGUCUUCGGAUCGUAAAACUCUGUUAUUAGGGAAGAACAAAUGUGUAAGUAACUAUGCACGUCUUGACGGUACCUAAUCAGAAAGCCACGGCUAACUACGUG
rnacentral:rRNA from 1 species